AGGAAUACCGGUGGCGAAGGCGGCCCCCUGGACAAAGACUGACGCUCAGGUGCGAAAGCGUGGGGAGCAAACAGGAUUAGAUACCUUGGUAGUCCACGCCGUAAACGAUGUCGACUUGGAGGUUGUGCCCUUGAGGCGUGGCUUCCGGAGCUAACGCGUUAAGUCGACCGCCUGGGGAGUACGGCCGCAAGGUUAAAACCCAAAUGAAUUGACGGGGGCCCGCACAAGCGGUGGAGCAUGUGGUUUAAUUCGAUGCAACGCGAAGAACCUUACCUGGUCUUGACAUCCACAGAAUUCUGCAGAGAUGCGGAAGUGCCUUCGGGAACUGUGAGACAGGUGCUGCAUGGCUGUCGUCAGCUCGUGUUGUGAAAUGUUGGGUUAAGUCCCGCAACGAGCGCAACCCUUAUCCUUUGUUGCCAGCGGUCCGGCCGGGAACUCAAAGGAGACUGCCAGUGAUAAACUGGAGGAAGGUGGGGAUGACGUCAAGUCAUCAUGGCCCUUACGACCAGGGCUACACACGUGCUACAAUGGCGCAUACAAAGAGAAGCGACCCCGCGAGGGCAAGCGGACCUCAUAAAGUGCGUCGUAGUCCGGAUUGGAGUCUGCAACUCGACUCCAUGAAGUCGGAAUCGCUAGUAAUCGUGGAUCAGAAUGCCACGGUGAAUCUUGCUGAAAACUCGAGCCAUCCG
rnacentral:rRNA from 1 species